rnacentral:misc_RNA from 1 species
GCCAUUGCAGGAUCAGUCCUCUUGGAUGAUGGACCGACAUUGCCAUUCCUCUGAGAAGUAGGCAUGUAAAUCCUCUGAGCAGUUGAAGAUAUGCUUUCAGUCCUCUGAGAUGUUAGGGGUAGAUUUUCAUUCCACUUGGACGUUUGAGGUGUAUAAAUGCUUUCAGAUGUCUGUGGUAUGGUUAGUGACAUUUCUUGGCUUAAUGAAUUCCCAUCUGUUGCAGGAUGUAUAGCGAGUGAUCUCUCUCGGUCCGAUAAAUCCUGCUCAACUGUUGGAGAUAGAACCAGAGACACCUCCUGGCCUGGUAAAUCCUCAUCAACUAUUUGUGGCAUAGAUGAUGCUCCCGAGUUUGGUAAAUCCCCUGGCAGUAGUUCUCCAUGCUUUGGGGAAUCUCUCUCUG